AACCAGCACCUCAAGUGGUCAGGAUGAUUAUUGGGCCUAAAGCAUCCGUAGCCUGUUCUGUUAGUCUCCGGUUAAAUCCAUCAACUCAAGUGAUGGGCCGCCGAAGAUACUGCAAAACUAGGGAGUGGGAGAGGUAGACGGUACUCGGUAGGAAGGGGUAAAAUCCUUUGAUCUAUUGAUGACCACCUGUGGCGAAGGCGGUCUACCAGAACACGUUCGACGGUGAGGGAUGAAAGCUGGGGGAGCAAACCGG
rnacentral:rRNA from 1 species